rnacentral:sRNA from 1 species
UAUUCUGCCCCAUGGGGAAGGAUGAGAAGCUUCGACUAAGGUUCGACUCGAGCGCCAGCGAGAGAACGUUGCCACAGGCAACGGCCCGAAGGGCGAGGCGCUUUAGCGCC